AUUGAACGCUGGCGGCAGGCCUAACACAUGCAAGUCGAGCGAGCGGCGGACGUGUGAGUAAUGUAUGGGGAUCUGCCCGGUAGAGGGGGAUAACUACUGGACACGGUGGCUAAUACCGCAUACUAUCGGAUGAACCCAUUUGGGAUUAGCUAGUAGGUGGGGUAAAGGCUCACCUAGGCGACGAGCUCUAGCUGGUCUGAGAGGAUGAUCAGACACACUGGGACUGAGACACGGUCCAGACUCCGACGGGAGGCAGCAGGGGGGAAUAUUGCACAAUGGGCGCAAGCCUGAUGCAGCCAUGCCGCGUGUAUGAAGAAGGCCUUAGGGGUGUAAAGUACUUUCAGCGGGGAGGCGUUACCCGCAGAAGAAGCACCGGCUAACUCCGUGCCAGCAGCCGCGGUAAUUC
rnacentral:rRNA from 1 species